AUUGAACGCUGGCGGCAGGCCUAACACAUGCCAGUCGAACGGUAACAGGGAUCAGCUUGCUGAUUCGCUGACGAGUGGCGGACGGGUGAGUAAUGUCUGGGAAACUGCCUGAUGGAGGGGGAUAACUACUGGAAACGGUAGCUAAUACCGCAUAACGUCGCAAGCCCAAAGAGGGGGACCUUCGGGCCUCUUGCCAUCGGAUGUGCCCAGAUGGGAUUAGCUAGUAGGUGGGGUAACGGCUCACCUAGGCGACGAUCCCUAGCUGGUCUGAGAGGAUGACCAGCCACACUGGAACUGAGACACGGUCCAGACUCCUACGGGAGGCAGCAGUGGGGAAUAUUGCACAAUGGGCGCAAGCCUGAUGCAGCCAUGCCGCGUGUAUGAAGAAGGCCUUCGGGUUGUAAAGUACUUUCAGCGGGGAGGAAGGGAGUAAAGUUAAUACCUUUGCUCAUUGACGUUACCCGCAGAAGAAGCACCGGCUAACUCCGUG
rnacentral:rRNA from 1 species